GUUUAAUAUAUCAUGAAAAUAGCACCUGAAAUAUGUGGGAUGAUGUAUAACAUAAACAGCGAUAGCUUAUUAAAGAUGGAUAUUGGCAAUAUCGACAUUCAAAAUUACAGUAGUGACUUAUUUUAUUUUCACGAAAAUAUAGCAAUAUAAUUAUAUAUAUAUUAAUAUCUAUGGCACUUCAUAUAAAGAAACAUUGUAUAUAGGGCAAGGUAAGAUAGAAAAAUGUAUAUCACGUCGUAAAGACACAGGACAAAUAUUAAAUGUAUCUGUGUCUGUGUAUUUAUGAAUUGUGUCUAGUUUUAUACCGAUCGCUACACAGAGUUCUUUCCUUAUCCUACUUGCGCUGUUGGUUUAAGGAACGACGGCUCUGGGUAGAGAUUGGUAUUAUAUAUCAGUACUAUUAUCCAAAUUAUAUAUAUAUGUAAGUACUAAUUUCGGAAAUGCUUUAUCCGAGUAUGGGUAUUUUCUGACAGUCAGUGUUUUAAAUUAGAAAAACUAGGAAAAAAUACUGUAUCGUCAACAUGCAAUGACAAACUCCGAUCUAAACAUAGAAAAAGUAAACAACAGAAACUGAGGGAGACGCAAACAUUGAUAAGAAGGUUCAACAAAAACAAAUCAAUGAAGAAUGAUUCCAGGUGGUUGUGAGACGAGAACGUAUAACACAGACCAAUCCAGGUAGAUCCCGGUAGGUAGACUAACACAGACCAAUCCCGGUAGAUCCCGGUAGCUAGACUAACACAGACCAAUCCAGGUAGAUCUCGUUAGGUAGACUAACACAGACCAAUCCAGGUAGAUCUCGUUAGGUAGACUAACACAGACCAAUCCCGGUAGAUCCCGUUAGGUAGACUAACACAGACCAAUCCAGGUAGAUCUCGUUAGGUAGACUAACAAAGACCAAUCCCGGUAGAUCCCGGUAGGUAGACUAACAAAGACCGAUCCCGGUAGAUCCCGGUAGGUAGACUAACAAAGACCGAAUCCAGGUAGAUCCCGGUAGGUAGACUAACAAAGACCAAUCCCGGUAGAUCCCGGUAGGUAGACUAACAAAGACCAAUCCCGGUAGAUCCCGGUAGGUAGACUAACAAA